UGAAACGAACUAGCCAACAGUUCCACGCCGACUAUGGUAGAAGACGAGCCAUCGUCUUAGGCGCUUUACAGAUUCAUCCAAUUGGACUGUGUUUAUGGGAAAUUUUUCGACGGAGGGAUGGAUGAUUGAGAUGACACUGAUUUUCGUGACAAUUUCAUUUUUCAUUGGAUGAAAUUCGAGGGGGAAGAGAUCCUUUGAGAUACCGAAAGGUCGUUCAGGGUGCUUGGUAAUCCAGGGAGGAACACGAGGACGCGUGUGCUGAUCGCACACACAAGGACGGAUCUUUCUUCGACAUGGGGUCGCGUGCACACGUGCAACGAGAACUCGUGCAACUGGCUGCACGGAGGGUUGCCUCGAGGUAUGCGGGGGCAGCCACCCCGGCAACGAUCCAUACGCCUGUCGCUGGAACGACAUCUCAUGGCGUCUGCGUCGAACUCCAUCGUGAACUUUCACCUCCGUUCUGCUGCUAUAUUUCACCCUAUUUCAACCAGGUUCGAUGAAACUACCAGGAGGUGUAACUGGGUCAUUCAGUUGUCUGUACUGCUUAUGGAAUGUUGAAGUCAAGAAUGAUUGAAGAAUGUUUACCAGGAUUUAAUGAUACUUUGUUCAUUUUUAUUCUCCUUGUCAGUGAAGCGUUG